rnacentral:rRNA from 1 species
UACGUAGGGUGCAAGCGUUGUCCGGAAUUAUUGGGCGUAAAGAGCUCGUAGGCGGUGUGUCACGUCUGCUGUGAAAACCCGAGGCUCAACCUCGGGCCUGCAGUGGGUACGGGCAAACUAGAGUGCGGUAGGGGAGAAUGGAAUUCCUGGUGUAGCGGUGGAAUGCGCAGAUAUCAGGAGGAACACCGAUGGCGAAGGCAGUUCUCUGGGCCGUAACUGACGCUGAGGAGCGAAAGCGUGGGGAGCGAACAGG